rnacentral:tRNA from 1 species
GCCUGAGUGGUGGAAUUGGUAGACACAAGAGACUUAAAAUCUCUCGAUCGAAUGAUCAUGCGGGUUCAAGUCCCGCCUCAGGUACCA